rnacentral:rRNA from 1 species
GAUGAACGCUGGCGGCGUGCCUAAUACAUGCAAGUCGAGUGAACGGACGAGAAUCUUGCUUCUCUGAUGUUAGCGGCGGACGGGUGAGUAACACGUGGAUAACCUACCUAUAAGACUGGGAUAACUUCGGGAAACCGUAGCUAAUACCGGAUAAUAUUUUGAACCGCAUGGUUCAAAAGUGAAAGACGGUCUUGCUGUCACUUAUAGAUGGAUCCGCGCUUCAUUAGCUAGUUGGUAAGGUAACGGCUUACCAAGGCAACGAUGCAUAGCCGACCUGAGAGGGUGAUCGGCCACACUGGAACUGAGACACGGUCCAGACUCCUACGGGAGGCAGCAGUAGGGAAUCUUCCGCAAUGGGCGAAAGCCUGACGGAGCAACGCCGCGUGAGUGAUGAAGGUCUUCGGAUCGUAAAACUCUGUUAUUAGGGAAGAACAUAUGUGUAAGUGACUAUGCACGUCUUGACGGUACCUAAUCAGAAAGCCACGGCUAACUACGUG